UUAAUUUAAAUUUUAGAUUUUUUUUUUUACUUUGUUUUCGAGACAUUAAAUUUUUUGUCCUUUUUUAUUUAAAAAAUUUGGUUUUUUCAUCUAAUUUUAUCCUUAAAAUCACUGUUUCUAAAAACGGGUCGGUGACCGAAUUGGUUAGGCUAUUGAUUCGUCGGUUCGAUUGGCCCAAUUAAUUUGAUUAAAAAAUUAUUAAAAAUUAAAAAAAAACUCGAUUU
rnacentral:lncRNA from 1 species